CUUUUCUCCCUAGAUACCAACAUAUUUCACAACAAUCUCAUAUAGCACUGAUGUUUUUGGGGACUGUAAGUGAAUUUAUCUAAUUUGAGCUAUUCCCAAACAAAAGCUGUGAAGAAAAGCACCCUAGUGAACACCAAAUCCAACGCAUUCCCCCAGAGAGGAAAUGCUGAGAGAAGACAAAAGCACAGACUUGGGUUGCCUGCUAAAGUGAUGUCACAAUACUGUUUGAUCUAAAGACACAUCCUGAACAUUUGCUGCAGAAAAGGCCACAUAAGAUUGCAAAGCAAGAAAGGGACACAUGUACCAAAAGAGAAUCCAAGCUUCUAAGCAAGGAAGAGAGGAAAUGAUAGGAGGAUUGGUUUGGAUCAAGUCUAAGAAAACUGGCUGUUUUAUAUAGUAUCUCCAACAACAGAGCCAAGGAACCCGCACAUAACGUUUGUCAAAGUUUACCACCCAUCCUGGGGCUGUAGAUUCCCAAAGAGACACAAGUUGCCUGACAAAGCAUCAGAACCUCUGUCAAGAGGCAGCCAUUACUUUUCAAAGGCUGUUCCCAGAAGAAAGUGACUUGACGGCCACAAAUGCAGGAGGGUAAUGGAGAAGGAAGAGCCAUUAUUGCAAUGAAGAUAAAAACAACACUGGGAAAAAAAAAAAAUCAACUUCAGUGCAAGAAAUUCCAAAUUGAUUUUUUUGUUUGUACUUUUGUUUUACCAAAGCGCUAUGAAUAAAGUUGG